rnacentral:rRNA from 1 species
UACAGAGGGUGCAAGCGUUAAUCGGAUUUACUGGGCGUAAAGGGCGCGUAGGUGGUUAUUUAAGUGAGAUGUGAAAUCCCCGGGCUCAACCUGGGAACUGCAUCUUAUACUGGGUAACUGGAGUACAUUAGAGGGUAGUGGAAUUUCCGGUGUAGCGGUGAAAUGCGUAGAUAUCGGAAGGAACACCAGUGGCGAAGGCGGCUACCUGGAAUGAUACUGACACUGAGGCGCGAGAGCGUGGGGAGCAAACAG